rnacentral:rRNA from 1 species
CCUACGGGAGGCAGCAGUGGGGAAUAUUGCACAAUGGGCGAAAGCCUGAUGCAGCAACGCCGCGAUUGAUGACGUUCUUCGGGUCGUAAAACUCUGUCCUCAAGGAAGAUAAUGACUCCUCCAGGGAGGAAAGCCCCGGCUAACUACGUGCCAGCAGCGCGGUAAU